rnacentral:rRNA from 1 species
AUUGAACGCUGGCGGAAUGCUUUACACAUGCAAGUCGAACGGCAGCACGGGGCAACCUGGUGGCGAGUGGCGAACGGGUGAGUAAUACAUCGGAACGUGCCCAAUCGUGGGGGAUAACGUAGCGAAAGUUACGCUAAUACCGCAUACGAUCUACGGAUGAAAGCGGGGGAUCGCAAGACCUCGCGCGAAUGGAGCGGCCGAUGUCAGAUUAGGUAGUUGGUGGGGUAAAGGCUCACCAAGCCAACGAUCUGUAGCUGGUCUGAGAGGACGACCAGCCACACUGGAACUGAGACACGGUCCAGACUCCUACGGGAGGCAGCAGUGGGGAAUUUUGGACAAUGGGCGCAAGCCUGAUCCAGCCAUUCCGCGUGCAGGAUGAAGGCCUUCGGGUUGUAAACUGCUUUUGUACGGAACGAAAAGGUCCUGGUUAAUACCUGGGGCUCAUGACGGUACCGUAAGAAUAAGCGCCGGCUAACUACGUG